AGCUAAUACCGGAUAUUUCCUUGAACCGCAUGGUUCAAGGAUGAAAGACGGUUUCGGCUGUCACUUACAGAUGGACCCGCGGCGCAUUAGCUAGUUGGUGGGGUAAUGGCUCACCAAGGCGACGAUGCGUAGCCGACCUGAGAGGGUGAUCGGCCACACUGGGACUGAGACACGGCCCAGACUCCUACGGGAGGCAGCAGUAGGGAAUCUUCCGCAAUGGACGAAAGUCUGACGGAGCAACGCCGCGUGAGUGAUGAAGGUUUUCGGAUCGUAAAGCUCUGUUGUUAGGGAAGAACAAGUGCGAGAGUAACUGCUCGCACCUUGACGGUACCUAACCAGAAAGCCACGGCUAACUACGUGCCAGCAGCCGCGGUAAUACGUAGGUGGCAAGCGUUGUCCGGAAUUAUUGGGCGUAAAGGGCUCGCAGGCGGUUUCUUAAGUCUGAUGUGAAAGCCCCCGGCUCAACCGGGGAGGGUCAUUGGAAACUGGGAAACUUGAGUGCAGAAGAGGAGAGUGGAAUUCCACGUGUAGCGGUGAAAUGCGUAGAGAUGUGGAGGAACACCAGUGGCGAAGGCGACUCUCUGGUCUGUAACUGACGCUGAGGAGCGAAAGCGUGGGGAGCGAACAGGAUUAGAUACCCUGGUAGUCCACGCCGUAAACGAUGAGUGCUAAGUGUUAGGGGGUUUCCGCCCCUUAGUGCUGCAGCUAACGCAUUAAGCACUCCGCCUGGGGAGUACGGUCGCAAGACUGAAACUCAAAGGAAUUGACGGGGGGCCCGCACAAGCGGUGGGAGCAUGUGGUUUAAUUUCGAAGCAACG
rnacentral:rRNA from 1 species